GCAUGCCAUUUCUGACUGAUACAAGUUACAUUAAUUCCCCACUCUGUUUCUUACCUUAUCAUUGGAAAACAGCAGAUCUGACCAUGAAAAUCUUAAGAGAUCUCAUUGCUACAGAUCAUCAGAGAACAAACUGGAAAGCAAACCAAUUUUGUUGUCACUGUCCUAUCCAGUUCUUGAGUCUCCAACUCCCACAACCAUAACCACGAUGUCGCUCAGUGUCUGUUGGAGACUUUUCUCACCACACCAAGAAUAAGCUGCAAAUUUCACCACAGGGCAAACAAGUUUCUCUGCUCCUUCAACACCAAAUCUACACUUGUGGGUUUCAAUAGGCAAGUCAAUGC